UACGUAGGGACCGAGCGUUGUCCGGAAUCAUUGGGCGUAAAGAGCGUGUAGGCGGCUUGUUAAGUCUUGCGUGAAAUCUCGGGGCUCAACCUCGAGACGUCGGUUGAAACCGUGUGGCUAGAGUCCGGAAGAGGAGAGUGGAAUUCCCGGUGUAGCGGUGAAAUGCGCAGAUAUCGGGAAGAACACCCGUGGCGAAGGCGGCUCUCUGGGACGGCACUGACGCUGAGACGCGAAAGCGUGGGGAGCGAACAGG
rnacentral:rRNA from 1 species